AAGCAUAACAAAAAAAGCAUUCAGUUGUAAAUUAAUGGUCAUCUCUCUCCUAUGCCCUGCCCAGUCUUUGUAAAACUGUGUUUUCAAUGCAAGAACAAUAUUUUCUUUAGGUUUACUAUCAUUACCAUUUCUGUAAAGUAACAGUGUUAAUCUGAAAGCUAAAAACAUAAGCAAAAGAAAAAAAAAACAAUAAGAAAAUCAGAACUAGCAUGUGUCUUAAUUGGGUAAGAGAAUGCUCAGAUCUGAAAGCAAAGCACCAUGCUUAGGAGCCUGUUUAUACUGAGAGUUGUUAAAUGAGCAUGCUAAUGGCCUUAUCAUCUCUUUUCUAGGGAGCCUUUUUUUCUCUGUACUUCUGUAAUGAAAUAGAAUGAUACUCUGCCAAAACUAUUCUCCUUUUUAACAGAUCUACUAAUUUCCCCAUUGUCUUGCCUUUUAUCUCACAGGAGGUCAUAAAAUAUUUUGUCACUGAUUCAUGAGAAAUACAUAUUCUAUCAUCUCAUUUCCGAUUGUUAAUUUUCUUGUCUGUGUGCAGGAGUGGGAACGCAUUAUUCCAUGCAGUGAAAUCUGAAGCAGCUUCCUGCCAUUUAGUAUGUCCAUUACAAGGUGUCAUAAUGAAAGCAGUAAUGGAUGAAUGUUAAAAAGUACAGAAGUUUGCUAUGCUUAAUUACAAAAGAGGAUGAUUCACUUCUCAUUCGUGCCACCCAGGGAAACUAGUCUGGCUGGAAGCCUCUUGAAAACGUUGUCUGAAAACAGUGCAGUCCACAUUUGUUGUGCCUGAAUCUGGAUUUUGUAAUCUUUAUAAAAGUCUGCUGUCAGAGACCUCUGAAAACUUUGGUCAAGCAUCUGUUCUGUGGCUUUAUCCCAGCCUCUAGGAGGUAUCUUUGAUGCAGUCCACGGAUUUUAAUGCCAGUUAAGAUGACUAUGCUAAGAACUACUUGAGAAGCUCUUCAGGAAGAGAGGUAAAUUGAAGAAGGAGUGGUGUUCUACAUGUGAAGAGGAGCCCACUGUUCUUUCUUCUGAAGAUGAGAGGAGAUCAAAGAGCAGCAGUAGAUCACAAAGGGGAGACCGUAGGAUUGUAUGGACAACUUUGACUGGGAGAAAGAAUAAUGUGAAAACUGCUGGUACAGUUCUACAUCUAACAUGCUGCAAAAAAGUGGCAAGGAAAGAGUUGAGGAAGUCAUCUUCAGCUGAGAACAUCUCGCUUCUCAGUGAUACUAACAAUAUUCAGCGCCAGACUAAGGUAUAUGAUAAGACUAGGUUUCACAAACUCAUCUUUAUAUUCUGCAUAUAAAGCAGUACACACUUACACUACCAUUGACAAGGUACAGUGCAUAAUUUAUAUGUCUGGAUUGAUAAUC
rnacentral:lncRNA from 1 species